GGCUGAAUUGAAGCUCCAAUCAGUGAAGCUUUUGCUGUCAGAGGUCCUCCAGGUGUCUUAAAUCAGCUGUUGCUGACGCUGAGAGGAAGACAAAUUUGCCCAGCCGUGAGAGUAAUGACCUGAGCCGCGUGUGAGGAGGUCUGAGGAAAGCAAACAAAAGAGACUCGAUUAGCACAAAUGCCUCUUCAUACUCUGAAGGAAGAGCAGCUUCAUUAUGGUGUGUGUUUUCCUCUCAGACACGUCCUGAGACCAGAGCGAGACGAAUCAGGUCACCUGUGCUUCAAAUCGCUCCUCAGUGCAGGAAAAGCAGUGUGUCCCAGCAGUCAUGUGAUAUCCCACCAUGCACCUCAGAAAUGGCCCGCUAAAGGUCGAGCUGGCCCCUUGUGAUUUCAGCACUCAAUCGUUCACAGUGGAACUGCAUAAACUACCGCAGCCAUAAAGAACGAUUUCAUGCAGCCGAGUUAAGACAACCUCUGCUGUGAUGCUGUGUCCGGCCAGCUGAGCGGACAGUCAUUGGUGCAUUUGGCAUUAGCAAGUAAUAUUAGGUAAAUGCUGUUUUUUAAUGUGUUUAUGAAAGUUAGAGUUUAGGAUAUAUGCUGUGCAUUUGUCACUGGCCAGCUGGACCCCUGAAACAUUGGCUGUUGUGCUCCUCAGGGGCCCGGAGAAGCCCCGAGCGUGGCCCGUGGCGGAUUCAGCUGGCGUCCGUACGGAGGGGACUAGAGCCUAUCGUCAGGAACAGACAAGUGGGGCAUUUCCCGCAGUCCCGAGGACGGACAUGUGCCGAGAAAAACCCUUGAAAAUGAAGAUGGAUGCGGGUCUGAUAGUAACAGGUUGACUAGCGGUGUCUUCAGAUGUUGGAAAUGUCGAGUUCAGCCAAAAAUGAACUCACCUGUUGUUUUUAACCUGUAUGUUUAUUUAUUUAUUUUUUUAUUUAUUUUUUUUGGUAGAACACAAAAUAAGACAUUUCUGUGCAGUUUUUUCAUACAAUGGACUGUGCAAUCAAAUCUUGUUCAAAGUGGUGCGUCGCAUUCACUUAUGACAAUCGAGAACCAAUGACGUCAAAUACAUGCAAUGCUUCAAUAAUAAUAUAAUGUAUAUGUUGCUAUAUGUUGUAAUUUUACAUAAAUUUUAGAAGUUUAAAAUUGUCGCACUUAUUAUUAUUAUUAUUAUUAUUAUUACAGAUGUAAUCUAAAAUGAUAAUGAAAACAACAUAUGCAUUAUAUUUCAGAAUAAUAUGCGGCCUUUGUAAUUUUUAUAUUAAUUUUAAGUUUUACAUUUUUGUGUUUCUUUUGUUGUUGCUGCCAUUUCACAAAAUUGUAACUAUUAUUAUAAACAACAUGCAUAAUAUUUUUUAUAAAAUGUAAUGCAUAUUAAGUAUUUUUGACCAUUUAUUUAAAUAUUUAAAAUGUUUCUUGCACAAAUUAUUAUAAAAUAUAAUGCAUAUUAUGUUGUGUUUGUUGUAUUUUUAGAUUUAUAUUUCAGUAUUCCUCACUCUUCAGACUUCUUUUCUGGUACUUUUUCUGGACUCCGUGGGUCGAGUUUGAAACGAUGUGAUGUAACACAAGUAAAUGAUUUUACAUAAACUAUUCCAUUAACUUGAUCCCCCAAACCUGCUCGUAGCACCUGGAUCAUAUAUUCGGCUCUUCAUAUCUGCUCUCUGCUAUUAUGUUCAAGUCCCAGAAUAUGACUGAAAAUGCAGCGAUUGAGCAGGUGUCUUCUGAAACCACUGCUUCUUCUGAAUGUUCUGGUUAAGUGGCUUUUCCAGGCAUGACAGUGGUGGUUUUCCCAUCCUCUCGGGCGUAAUGUAUAAUUCCCAACCUAACGCUUUUUAAUAUUGCAUUUCUGAUAUUAAACACUUCGUCAGCUCGCUGCCUGGAGGAGAGACACUACUAUGACAGAUGAUAAAAUUUCCCGCUCGUUAAAAAUGCAUGAGACAGUGUCUAGAAACACGAGGUGACGUGGGGACAUGUCCCUCUUGCUCCGGCCCGCGUCGUCCAUCAUCGCAGUCCAGUGUUCAGAUUACACCGCGUGUGUCCAGCUCUGGGAUUUGAGUUCUUCAGGUCUGGAUGAGGUCAGCACAAGCAGGACGAGAGUUAUUGUUGGAUUGCUUCAUUGUUUAGAUGACUAAUAAAAGAGUCGCUAAUCAGGUGUGAGCA
ensembl:lncRNA